GUGCCAGCCCUGCUCAUGGCAGUGAGGUGGGCUCCCAGCUGCUGAGGCCACCCAGCACUAGUGAGUGACUUGGCAUUUUUAUUUUUGUUCAGAUCACAAGAAUGGGCAUUACAUCAUCCCACAGAUGGCUGACAGCCUGGACUUAUCCGAAUUGGCCAAAGCUGCUAAGAAGAAGCUGCAGGCGCUCAGCAACCGGCUUUUUGAGGAACUUGCCAUGGACGUGUAUGACGAGGUGGAUCGAAGAGAAAAUGAUGCAGUGUGGCUGGCUACCCAAAACCACAGCACUCUGGUGACAGAGCGCAGUGCCGUGCCCUUCCUGCCUGUUAACCCAGAAUACUCAGCCACGCGGAAUCAGGGGCGACAAAAGCUGGCCCGCUUUAAUGCCCGAGAGUUUGCCACCUUGAUCAUCGACAUUCUCAGUGAGGCCAAGCGGAGACAGCAGGGCAAGAGCCUGAGCAGCCCCACAGACAACCUCGAGCUGUCUCUGCGGAGCCAGAGUGACCUCGACGACCAGCACGACUACGACAGCGUGGCCUCUGACGAGGACACAGACCAGGAGCCCCUGCGCAGCACUGG
rnacentral:sRNA from 1 species